rnacentral:lncRNA from 1 species
UUCUGCCUUGCUGCUCCCACUGCCACCACCAAAACGAUUUGAAUCUGGAGGUGUAGCUCUGCUACCACCACCUGCCAAACGAUCAGAAUCCUGAGGUGGAGCCCUACUGCCACUAGUCCAGCGAUCAGAUUGUGAUGGAGGAGCCCUGCUGCCAGCAGCCCAUCGGUCGGGCUCCAACGGUGCUGGCUUGCCCCAUCGAUCAGGCUCAGAAGGUGGAGCUGGACCAGAGCUUUCAGGCCUUAGCCGGAACUUAGGAACAUAUUUCCCAGUAGUUGGAGCAGCAGCAGCAGCAGCAGCAGCUGGAGUCGCAACGACAGGCUCGGUUGUACGGGACCCAGCAGGAAGUUCAGAAGGCCUAGAAAUCCCCUCCGGUGCCCUUCCCAAGAGAGCUUCUCGCCUCAGCCUCUCUUUCUCUUCCAAUUCUCGC